ACUCUGCGGCUGGAUCACCUCCUUAGAGUUUGAUCCUGGCUCAGGAUGAACGCUGGCGGCGUGCUUAACACAUGCAAGUCGAGCGAAGCACCUGGACGGAUUUCUUCGGAUUGAAGUCUGGGCGACUGAGCGGCGGACGGGUGAGUAACGCGUGGGUAACCUGCCUCAUACAGGGGGAUAACAGUUAGAAAUGACUGCUAAUACCGCAUAAGCGCACGAAGGCGCAUGCCUUUGUGUGAAAAACUCCGGUGGUAUGAGAUGGACCCGCGUUAGAUUAGCCAGUUGGCAGGGUAACGGCCUACCAAAGCGACGAUCUAUAGCCGGCCUGAGAGGGCGACCGGCCACAUUGGGACUGAGACACGGCCCAUACUCCUACGGGAGGCAGCAGUGGGGAAUAUUGCACAAUGGGGGAAACCCUGAUGCAGCGACGCCGCGUGAGCGAAGAAGUAUUUCGGUAUGUAAAGCUCUAUCAGCAGGGAAGAAA
rnacentral:rRNA from 1 species